UACUAAAGGAUAAUAGCAUUCCACUGGUCUUAGGCACCACAAUCCUUGGUGCAAAUCCAAAUCAAGCUUNUC
rnacentral:tRNA from 1 species